rnacentral:rRNA from 1 species
UACGAGGGGUGCAGCGUUGCUCGGAAUUAUUGGGCGUAAAGGGUAGGUAGGUGGUCUUCUUUGUCUGGGGUGAAAGCCUUGAGCUUAACUCAAGAAGUGCCUUAGAAACGGCGAGACUGGAGUACUGGAGAGGGUCGUGGAAUUCCCGGUGUAGCGGUGAAAUGCGUAGAGAUCGGGAGGAACACCAGCGGCGAAGGCGGCGACCUGGACAGUUACUGACACUCAACUACGAAAGCGUGGGGAGCAAACAGG